GGCCCUGUAGCUGGACGGUCAAGCGAGCGACUCAUAAUCGCUGGAUGGUGGUUCGAUUCCACCCAGGGCCACCA
rnacentral:tRNA from 4 species